rnacentral:rRNA from 1 species
AGCAGCCGCGGUAAUUCCAGCUCCAAUAGCGUAUAUUAAAGUUGUUGCAGUUAAAAAGCUCGUAGUUGAAUUUCGGGGUUAGUAGGCUGGUCGUGCCACAGGUAUGCACUGGUCUUACUGACUUCUCCUUUCUGAAGAACUGUAAUGCCAUUAAUUUGGUGUUGCAGGGAAACAGGACUGUUACUUUGAAAAAAUUAGAGUGUUUAAAGCAGGCUAACGCUUGAAUACAUUAGCAUGGAAUAAUGAAAUAGGACGUUCGAUCCUAUUUUGUUGGUUUCUAGGAUUGACGUAAUGAUUAAUAGGGAUAGUUGGGGGCAUUAGUAUUCAAUUGUCAGAGGUGAAAUUCUUGGAUUUAUUGAAGACUAACUACUGCGAAAGCAUUUGCCAAGGAUGUUUUCAUUAACCAAGAACGAAAGUUAGGGGAUCGAAGACGAUCAGAUACCGUCGUAGUCUUAACCAUAAACUAUGCCGACUAGGGAUCGGAUGAUGUUAAUUUUUAAUGACUCAUUCGGCGCCUUAC